ACCAUGCUUCCUGAAUGCAUUGCGGAGGAGGCUGUGGUUUUGCUAUUAUGCAUAUACUUUUGCUGUGCCCAUCAGGAUUGUGUAGCUGCCAUAUGUCGCCAAUUGGAUUGUGUAAUAGCGGAUACUUGACCUUUGUAGCUGGAUUUUGCUAAACAGAACUUCUCAAGGGCCCGCUGUAUUAUGCCUGUGCUAUAACUCUGACAACAAUAGUUUUCUGGAGGACAUCUCCCAUCUCAAUCGCGGUGAUCUGCAAUUUGUGUGCCGGAGAUGGUGUUGCUGACAUAGCUAGGAGAC